UCCCUGGUGGCUCAGACGGUAAAGCGUCUGCCUGCAAUGCGGGAGACCUGGGUUCAAUUCCUGGGUGGGGAA
rnacentral:tRNA from 1 species